GACGUAGGGCGCAAGCGUUGUCCGGAUUUAUUGGGCGUAAAGAGCUCGUAGGCGGCUUGUUGCGUCGUCCGUGAAAACCCGUGGCUCAACUGCGGGCUUGCGGACGAUACGGCAGGCUGGAGUUCGGUAGGGGAGACUGGAAUUCCUGGUGUAGCGGUGAAAUGCGCAGAUAUCAGGAGGAACACCGAUGGCGAAGGCAGGUCUCUGGGCAUUAACUGACGCUGAGGAGCGAAAGCAUGGGGAGCGAACAGG
rnacentral:rRNA from 1 species